AUGGGCCAGUGGAGUGCCUGCGGAGUGCUGCCCGGCCCUGAGACAUGCAGAAACAAUGUGCCCCCGUGUCCUCCGUGCCCAGCAGAUAGAUGUCCCAGCGCGUCAGACACAGCAGGCAGCAUGUGGCCCAGCGGCACUCUCUGGACCAGCUGCCCAGCAGCUUGGCGGUCUCCUGCCAGUGGGGAUGCUCCGCAGUCUCCUGCAGGACCUCCCACAGGUGAGGUUGCAAGCUCUGGGGAUGCAGAAGCAAAGGCUCUGGCUGCCCUCCAAGGUCGUGUUGUUGCAGCUGCACAGCGGGAGUCCGACCACCUCUCCUUGCAAGAACCUCGGCAUUGGAAAAGUGAUGAAUGGGCUGGAAAUAUCACACCUAAGUCAAUUAAGAAACCACAACUUAUUUGCUACAGCAUGUAA
rnacentral:lncRNA from 1 species